GUCUUUUUGUUAAAAAUUUAAAGUCUGACCUGCUCAAUGAAAAUUAAAUAGCUGCAGUAUUUUGACUGUACAAAGGUAGCAUAAUCAUUAGUUUUUUAAUUAAAAGCUAGAAUGAAGGGUUUGACGAAAAAAUUACUGUCUUUAUUUAAUUUAAUUAGAAAUUUAUUAUUUAGUAAAAAAGCUAAAAUAUAUUUAAUAGACGAGAAGACCCUAUAGAGUUUUAUAUUAUGUAUUAUUAUAUUAAAAUAGAGAAUUAUUUAUUUAAUAGUAUUAUAGUAUUUUUUUGGGGAGAAAAAAAAAUUUAGUUAACUUUUUUUAUUUAAUUUCAUUAAUUUAUGAAUAAUUGAUCCAUUUUAUUGAUUAUAAGAUUUAAUUACCUUAGGGAUAACAGCAUAAUUUUUUUUAAGAGUUCUUAUCGAAAAGAAAGAUUGUGACCUCGAUGUUGGAUUAAAAUUUAUUUAUAAUGAAGGAGUUAUAAAAUUAGGUCUGUUCGACCUUUAAAAUUUUACA
rnacentral:rRNA from 1 species